UAGUAUUGGAAGACUUUUUUGGAAGAGUGCAUAUCCAACAGGAGGCUAAUGUCCUGCGCAGCAAGGCGAGUAAACCAGGUUCCAGUAGCCGGUGGUAUCCAGGGCACACAACCAGUAAAUGCGCAAAUCACAGAAGUAUAUCUCCUCUACAACGCGCAAUAAAAAUCCCCCCCCCAAACAAACAACCAAACAAAAACAUUUCUACUAAACGUUAUACGAAACAUAUGGAGUUUGAGUUGGACAUGUCGACGUCUGUCAUUCGUGCCCGGCUCUCCGUCAGACCCACACAUGCGCUUAUCGGUAAGUCUGGCUACCAGGCACCCCCUACCCAACCCCACCGCUGCUUCUGGCUCCAUCAGUUCCACAAUCACCUUGGCAACCCAGAAGCCUGCGGUGACUGAGUAAGUUUGUCUGGAACUGGGAAAAGCUUGCAAGUAGCGUGACACAAACCAGAAGAUAUCGCUCAUCCUGGAGAUCGUAUGCAUCUGCGUCACUUAGAUAACUGCUUGUAGUGUCUGACAAAGUGCCAGGUGCUCAGUGCAAGCCAGAACACCCACAUUCAUUUGUUCAUUAGAACAGCUGUAUUCAAGCACUAAUAACAGCUAUAUAAGGAAACAGGAGCAGGACAUUACUAGCAACUUGUGUAAUUACUGUGUUUUGGUGCAUUUCUGUCGUUUUUGGGGGGGGGGCUUGUUUUCGAACAGAGCAAAACAGGGAGAACCUAACUUUAUACAAAAGCAACAUGUUUUAUUUUUGAAAACUGAACAUGCCAAAUAAUUGAUUUCUGAUUACCGAUGUUAAAGUUAAGGCCAGUUUUAGGUUUAGGAUUAGUGACAUAUAGCAGAUACAUGUAUAUUUUUGACAAAGUACAUAAUAAAUGUAUAUGAGGUA